rnacentral:hammerhead_ribozyme from 1 species
AUCUAGCUGAUGAGUCCAAAAAUAGGACUAAACGCGCGUCCUGGAA